rnacentral:rRNA from 1 species
AUUGAACGCUGGCGGCAGGCCUAACACAUGCUAGUCGAGCGGUAGCACAAAGGAGCUUGCUCCUUGGGUGACGAGCGGCGGACGGGUGAGUAAUGUCUGGGAAACUGCCUGAUGGAGGGGGAUAACUACUGGAAACGGUAGCUAAUACCGCAUAACGUCGCAAGACCAAAGAGGGGGACCUUCGGGCCUCUUGCCAUCGGAUGGGCCCAGAUGGGAUUAGCUAGUAGGUGGGGUAAAGGCUCACCUAGGCGACGAUCCCUAGCUGGUCUGAGAGGAUGACCAGCCACACUGGAACUGAGACACGGUCCAGACUCCUACGGGAGGCAGCAGUGGGGAAUAUUGCACAAUGGGCGCAAGCCUGAUGCAGCCAUGCCGCGUGUGUGAAGAAGGCCUUCGGGUUGUAAAGCACUUUCAGCGGGGAGGAAGGGAGCAGGCUUAAUACGUCUGUUCAUUGACGUUACCCGCAGAAGAAGCACCGGCUAACUCCGUGCCAGCAGCCGCGGUAAAAC